UACGUAGGGUGCAAGCGUUAAUCGGAAUUACUGGGCGUAAAGCGUGCGCAGGCGGUUCGGAAAGCAAGGUGUGAAAUCCCAGGGCUUAACCUUGGAACUGCACUUUUAACUACCGGGCUAGAGUACGUCAGAGGGGGGUAGAAUUCCACGUGUAGCAGUGAAAUGCGUAGAGAUGUGGAGGAAUACCGAUGGCGAAGGCAGCCCCCUGGGAUGAUACUGACGCUCAUGCACGAAAGCGUGGGGAGCAAACAGG
rnacentral:rRNA from 1 species